AUUGAACGCUGGCGGCAUGCCUUACACAUGCAAGUCGAACGGUAACGGGCCUUGGUGUGCCGACUAGUGGCGAACGGGGAAGUAAUACAACCGAACGGACCCGAUCGUUGUGGGUAACGGGUCGAAACCUUUGCCAAUAGCGCAUACGAGCUACUGAUUAAAGCCGGAGAGCGCAAGAGCGUACGCGGGCCUAGCGGCCACUGACAGAUUAGGUAGUUGGUCAGUUAAUAGCUUACCAAGUCGACGAUCUGUAGCUGGUCUGAGAGGAUGAUCAGCCACACUGGGACUGAGACACGGCCCAGACUCCUACGGGAGGCAGCAGUGGGGAAUUUUGGACAAUGGGCGCAAGCCUGAUCCAGCCAUGCCGCGUGAAUGAUGAAGGCCUUCGGGUUGUAAACUGCUUUUGUACGGAACGAAAAGCUUUCUUUUAAUACAGGCGCGUCAUGACGGUACCGUAAGAAUAAGCCCCGGCUAACUACGUG
rnacentral:rRNA from 1 species